rnacentral:rRNA from 1 species
AAUUUCUGUAUCACUGCAUAACCCAUUCCGAGUACCUUGCCUGUUGCUUCCCUUGGGCCUGACCUUGGUCACUCUUGAGAUGUGAAUCCCACGAGAGUUCCCAUGGGAGGUAAUCAUUAAAUUCAUGUAUCCAAUGUCUUCUGUCUGAACUGUUUAUAACGAAUGUUAAAACUUUCAACAACGGAUCUCUUGGUUCUCGCAUCGAUGAAGAACGCAGCGAAAUGCGAUAAGUAGUGUGAAUUGCAGAAUUCAGUGAAUCAUCGAAUCUUUGAACGCACAUUGCGCCUCCUGGUAUUCCGGGAGGCAUGCCUGUUCGAGCGUCAUUAAAUACCUCUCAAGCAGAUUUGCUUGGUCUUGGAAGAUGAGUUUGCUUGCAUUCUCCCUUCUGAAAUUCAAAGGCGGAUGAUGUCAUAUCCCCAGGCGUAGUAAGAUUAUCUUUUCGCAUGGUGUGUGAGAUAGUCCAGCCGUCAACCCCCAAUUUUUUCAAGGUUGACCUCGGAUCAGGUAGGGAUACCCGCUGAACUUAAGCAUAUCAAUAAGCGGAGGAAAAGAAACCAACAGGGAUUGCCUUAGUAACUGCGAGUGAAGCGGCAAAAGCUCAAAUUUGAAAUCUGGCGUCUUUGGCGUCCGAAUUGUAAUUUGGAGAGGCAACUUCGGAGAUGGUGCCGUCCUAAGUCCCUUGGAACAGGAUGACAUAGAGGGUGAGAUCCCCGUGCCUGGAUGGCUGUCCAUCUCCAUGUGAAUUGCCUUCGAAGAGUCCAGUUGUUUGGGAAUGCAGCUCAAAAUGGGUGGGUAAUUUCAUCUAAAGCUAAAUAUUGG